GUGACAGAAAAGAAGAGAUGGGAUGUGGCAAUGAUUUGUUACUUGGCCAGCAUGAAAAAACAAAAUGGAAAAGGAUGGAAAAGCAUCUAGUCUCAGAUGGCACCUGGCUAAAUGAUCUCCCAGCCUCCUUAAAGAUAGGCAAAUACUGGCCAGUGGAAUAUGGCUAAAUGUUGACAUCCUGGACAACCUUGCAAGAUAGAUUCUGAAGAUGGUGAAGAUUCUGUCAGCUAGGAUUCCAUGGUUGCGUGGAGAAGAUCCCCCAACGCUGAACAACCACCCACUGAACUUCACAUGAGCAAGAAAUCAGGAACAUAAGGAACAGAAGAAUAUGUUAAAUAACACUACCAGGAUAAGAUCUGCAAAUCCAGAAUGUGAAAAAUUAUGUAAGACAAUAG